UAGUAGGUUACAAACUCCCUCUGCCGUUGCUCUGUAUCAAAGCUUUCAAUCCAAUAAUCUUCAACUUAGAAGAUCUCUGAUAAUGGCUAUUAUAAGAAAUAGAAGGAACGAGGUAAGAGACGGCUCUCAACUCCCUUUACUUUGCAUCACUUUAUCAAACAUAAGAAAUGCAUUGCGGAAAAAACAAAUCUGUUGCAAAGAUUCUGUAUUCACAAGUUGUCUGGAUUGAUGAUCGUCAUUGGACGAUUCCAAGUUUCCCAAAAAGGACAAAAUGGAAGGGGAAAACCCCAUUCCUUACCUCCUAGGAGAAUUAUUUUUUCAUUGGUUCUUGGAGUUUAAUUAUUUUCUAGUAUAAAAUAUUCUCAUUAUUUAGCUUCCUAAUAUACGCUUUCCUCGAUCCUAUCAAAUUGAAAGGGAGACUAGUAAACUCAACAAAAUCUCUUUCACUCUUACUGGGAAACUCUAAGCUUCCAAAUCUACCAUUCUUUCCUCAAUCCUAUAAAUUUGAAAGGGAAACUGAUCGAGGACGGACCCAUCAACCAAAUCACUGAAUCAAUUACUAUUUCUGAUCUUCUCUGCUACUCUCUCCUACCCUUUUGAUCCAUUAAUGGGUAAUUUUUAUUUUAUGCUUUUAUAAGAAUUUUAAUUGGUGAGUUAGUUUCUUAAUCUGUUUUUUUUUUCCUUCUACUUUUCUUAAGAGUAAUCCCAAUUUUUAGAGCUGUUUAUUGAGUUCAGUGCAUCAAGCUUUCUAGGUUUGUGAUGAAACAUUAGUAAGUGUUAUUGGAUCGACUACUCAAGAAGAUGGUGACAAUUAAUACCAGAGGUCGAGGUCGAGGAGCUAGCAUGCACUGACCCGCCAACCUAUGUAGUGCGCGUUUUCGCUCUUUUUGCCAAUCCAAACAACAAUGCUUAUGGGGGAUAUAUCACAGAACUUAAGGGUCACUUUUUUGCUAUUGAAGGGAAGGUACUAGUUGCAGGAGAUAGCAUUGAAGCAGAAGCAAAAGCCAUUCUUCGUGGGCUGCAGUUUGCUCUUGGGCAAGGUAUUCAACACAUUGGUUUGGUUUCUAAUGCAAAGGAGAUAGAUAAUGCUAUUAAUACUGGAGAAAGGCAAAAUUUUCCAAGCCUGGAAAAGAUUCUUACAAUGAUUACUGAUCUUCUUUCUGAAUUUACUUGGGCUCAAAUAUUUCAUGAUAGAAUGUCAACCCAAGUGGCUUACCAACUUGCUUUGAAUGUUUUACCUAAUAUGGCUAAAAGGCCUCCUACUGAAUUAUGUUUAAGGGAACCACCUGAGUGGUUCAUAGAUGGGUGAACCACCUAAUUGAGUGGCUUCUAGAAUCCUACAUUUGUUUGUGUCAUUCUUAGGAUAGACAGGUAGAAGGGAAAGGGAAGGGGGGCCAAGGUGUAAAGGGGAUUAUGUAUAGCCUUGCUUUUUUACCACAUGAUCUGUUGGCACUGAAAUUUUUGGAGGGCUUAUUAGAUUACAUUGUUAUUUUAAAGGAAGGAUUCAGAGAUUGUAAUUCCAUUAAGAUGAAAAUAGCUUGAAAGUAAUGGUA